AGACCAUGAUGAGGACACUAUAAAACAAGAUCUUUGAAACGUUCCAUACAUCAGGAAAAUGAUUCAUUGGGAUGCUGGCAAAACUGGAGAAUGUCGUUCCUAAGUUU
rfam:Cephalotus follicularis DNA, scaffold: scaffold1973, isolate: St1.